UGGGGAAUAUUGCACAAUGGGGGAAACCCUGAUGCAGCGACGCCGCGUGAGCGAUGAAGUAUUUCGGUAUGUAAAGCUCUAUCAGCAGGGAAGAAAAUGACGGUACCUGACUAAGAAGCACCGGCUAAAUACGUGCCAGCAGCCGCGGUAAUACGUAUGGUGCAAGCGUUAUCCGGAUUUACUGGGUGUAAAGGGAGCGUAGACGGAGAGGCAAGUCUGAUGUGAAAACCCGGGGCUCAACCCCGGGACUGCAUUGGAAACUGUUUUUCUAGAGUGUCGGAGAGGUAAGUGGAAUUCCUAGUGUAGCGGUGAAAUGCGUAGAUAUUAGGAGGAACACCAGUGGCGAAGGCGGCUUACUGGACGAUGACUGACGUUGAGGCUCGAAAGCGUGGGGAGCAAACA
rnacentral:rRNA from 1 species